UCAAGCGACUAAGUGUAUGUGGUGGAUGCCUUGGCGAUCACAGGCGAUGAAGGACGUGACAGCCUGCGAAAAGCUGUGGGGAGCUGGCAAAUAAGCUUUGAUCCACAGAUGUCCGAAUGAGGGAACUCACCUGCUUUGCAGGUAUCCCAUCCUGAAUAUAUAGGGAUGGGAGGCGAACGAAGCGAACUGAAACAUCUAAGUAGCUUCAGGAAAAGAAAUCAACCGAGAUUCCGAAAGUAGCGGCGAGCGAAAUCGGAUCAGCCCAGCACUCGAUAGCAGCCAACUUACGGGAACGGUCUGGAAAGUCCGGCCAUAGAGGGUGAUAGCCCCUUACUGGAAAAGGCAGCUGUGGUACUAAGUGUGCGAUAAGUAGAGCGGGACACGUGACAUCCUGCUCGAAGAUGGGGGGACCAUCCUCCAAGGCUAAAUACUCGUGAUCGACCGAUAGCGUACCAGUACUGUGAAGGAAAGGUUAAAAGAACCCCGGGAGGGGAGUGAAAUAGAUCCUGAAACCGCAUACAUACAAACAGUAGGAGCCUCGUUAAGGGGUGACUGCGUACCUUUUGCAUAAUGGGUCAGCGACUUACGUUUAAUGGCGAGCUUAACCGUAUAGGGGAGGCGCAGCGAAAGCGAGUUCGAACAGAGCGUUCAGUCGUUAGGCGUAGACCCGAAACCAGAUGAUCUAUCCAUGGCCAGGUUGAAGGUGUGGUAACACACACUGGAGGACCGAACCGACUAGUGUUGCAAAAUUAGCGGAUGAGCUGUGGAUAGGGGUGAAAGGCUAAACAAAUCUGGAGAUAGCUGGUUCUCCCCGAAAACUAUUGAGGUAGUGCCUCGUGUAUGACUCCAGGGGGUAGAGCACUGUUAUGGCUAGGGGGACAUGGCGUCUUACCAAACCAUGGCAAACUCCGAAUACUUGGAAGUUUGAGCACGGGAGACAGAGCACCGGGUGCUAACGUCCGGACUCAAGAGGGAAACAACCCAGACCGCCGGCUAAGGUCCCUAAUAUUGACUAAGUGGAAAACGAAGUGGAAAGGCUAAGACAGUCAGGAAGUUGGCUUAGAAGCAGCCAUCCUUCAAAGAAAGCGUAAUAGCUCACUGAUCGAGUCUUUCUGCGCGGAAGAUGUAACGGGGCUAAGUCAAUAACCGAAGCCGCGGAUUCACACUUAUGUGUGAGUGGUAGGGGAGCGUUCUGUAAGCCUGCGAAGGUGACUCGUAAGGGUUGCUGGAGGUAUCAGAAGUGCGAAUGCUGACAUGAGUAACGUUAAAGCGGGUGAAAAGCCCGCUCGCCGUAAGCCCAAGGUUUCCUGCUCUACGUUCAUCGGAGCAGGGUGAGUCGGCCCCUAAGGUGAGGCUGAGAAGCGUAACUGAUGGGAACAAGGUUAAUAUUCCUUGACCACCGCUGAAUGCGAAGGGGGGACGGAGUAUUGAAGAUCAUCCGGGUGUUGGAUAUCCCGGUUUGCGAGCGUAGGAGGCUGACAGGCAAAUCCGUCAGCGGAUCUCCGAGGCAAAGCAUCGAGCUCUCUUUUGAGCGAAGUGAUUGGAUGUGCUUCCAGGAAAAGCCUCUAAGCUCCAGUUCAGCGGGACCGUACCGCAAACCGACACUGGUGGGCGAGCUGAAUAUGCUCAGGCGCUUGAGAGAACUCAGGAGAAGGAACUCGGCAAAUUGACCCCGUAACUUCGGGAUAAGGUGUGCCUUUGUAGCGUGGAGGGAGAAACACCCCGAGCGCGAAGAGGUCUCAGAUAAUCGGUGGCUGCGACUGUUUAUUAAAAACACAGCACUCUGCAAAGACGAAAGUCGACGUAUAGGGUGUGAUGCCUGCCCGGUGCUGGAAGAUUAAUUGAUGGGGUGCAAGCUCCUGAUCGAAGUCCCAGUAAACGGCGGCCGUAACUAUAACGGUCCUAAGGUAGCGAAAUUCCUUGUC
rnacentral:rRNA from 1 species